GUUCCUGUCCUUGCUAGUCUGCAUUUUUGGAGAAAUUACCCAACUCUUUGGAGUAUUUGUUUGCUAUUCUGUAAAAUUACAAUUGAAUAAUAAAAACAUAAAUGGUAUUGUGAAGCUGAUAGAAUGCCAAAAGACUUAGCAUAGUGGGUUCUCAGUAAUUUUUCUUUCCUUCCUUCUUCCUCCCUUCCUUCUUUCCUUCCUACAUACCUGUCACUAUAUCCAAGGCUCUCCUCCUAUCUGCUGGGUGGUAGGACCCAGAAGCUUUAAAGAAAGCACUUUUCUGUCAUUUAAAGCUUGCACUCCUCAACCUCCUCAUUUGGCUCCAUGUCCACGUUUGCAGUUUACCUUUCCUACAUCUAACCGAGGAAGCGAAAACUGGUAACCCUCCUUCUCAGUCUGUUUCUAUGGAGCCCUAGGGUCAUUGUGAGCAGGCCUGGGGAGGAUUUUUUCACUAAUGCUGAACUAAAUGAUGCAUUAAAUUGGGUGAGGGCUGCCUUCAGGUGAAGAUGAAAAGUACCCUGGCUGCCCUAGGAGAGAAUGCUUCCCCCAGGAUGUUUUCAGCUGCACUUUUCCAUUCCACUUUAAAUAGCACAGGUGAUAAGGACUUUAUGUGCAUAACCCUCUGAACCAGCCCAGCAGCCCAGUGUCACCUUCUGCUACACAGAAAGAGAGAAGGGAAGGUUGUGCAAGAAGAGAUGCUUUAGCUUUCCUUUCAAUUUUUUUUCUUCCUCACUCCCCUAUUGGAAGGAAAGAAAAUACAAGCACAAAGAAGGUACCACUUAUUUUACCAAAACUUCAAAAGACACCAAAUCCAGGCCUCUGAACCAACCAAAUAACUCAAUCAACAACAACAAAACCGAGAUGGGCCACAAAGUGGAAAAUGUUAUAACAGCUUAAGUAACAGGUCUAGGUAUUGGGAAGACCACCCAAAAACAACAGGAAGCAUGCUUUUGGAGUGAACAAGAGGAAUUUGCCACGGGCUUCAAGGACACUUGGAAUGGGAUGCCCAGUAUUUCCUGCGGGAGUUUCAAAUGGCAUCAGGUGCAGUGGCUCCAGGCAACCUGGAAGCAUUCAUCAUCAUUUAUGGUCUACUUUUGAUUCUAUGAGGAGACGAUUCACUUAGGCUUCCUCCAGGCCAGGCCCAAAGAGGUGGCAGGCUAUGAGGAGAAGAAAGCCUAAAAGGCAUCCAGGUGGGACAUUGUGAACUAGAGAACCCAUGUGUGAGUUAGAUUGCAAGUAUCUCUGGUCACAUUCACAAGCCAAUAAAAACAAUGCUGUCCUCCACGAGAACAAAUCUAAUUAGAACAAAUCCCAAUCCUUUACAAAUAUUGUAGACUGAAAUGCUUGUUUUAAAGAUAAAGACAUUUGGCCAGGAGUGGUGGCUCAUGCCUGUAAUCCUAGCACUUUGGGAGGCUGAGGCGCGCAGAUUACCUGAGGCCAGGAGUUCGAGACCAGCCUGACCAACAUGAAGGAACCCUGUCUCUACUAAAAGUACAAAAAUUAGCCGGGCAUGGUGGCAUGCACUUGUAACCCCGGCUACUCAAGAGGCUGACGCAGGAGAAUAGCUUGAACCCAGGAGGCAGAGGUUGCAGUGAGCUGAGAUCUCGCCAUUGCACUCCAGCCUGGGCAACAGAAUGAGACUCUGUCUCAAAAAAAAAAAUAAAUAAAAUAAAUAUAAAAAUUAGCCAGGCAUGCUGGUAUGCAUCUGUAGUUCCAGCUACUCCAGAAGUUGAGGCAUGAGAAUCGCUUGAACUGAGGAGGCGGAGAUUGGAGUGAGCCAAGAUUAUGCCAUUGCACUCCAGCCUGGGCUACAGAGCAAGACUCCAUCUCAAAAAUAAAUAAAUAAAAAUAAAGACAUUUGUUCAGCCCUUCGAACUGUCAAAUGAGUAUGUUCUUGGAAAGGUUCCUUGUCAUCAAAUAUAAAUUGCAAUGAUCAAAGGCAAACUACAUAUCAAUAUGUAACGCAAAAGAGUUUACCAGGAGUCUACAUUGGAGGAGAUGAACUCGACGCAGAAAUGGUGCACCUCUGGGUUUGCCAAAGCAGAAAAAUUCUUGACAGCCUUCCCAAAAGUACAACCAAGUUCUUGUGCCCCAGAGUGGGGUGAGAUCUUAGAGAAGAAAGGCAUCUGAGGGAUUAUUUUUGAAGUCUUGUUCACAGGUUUAAGCAGUUACAAUCACAAGUCCUUCUGCUCAACCACGACCAUCUAGGUUUGCCCAUUACUUUAUUUUUUAAUCUGACACAAAAGGAAAGAUGCAGAGGUGAAAAAGGGAGGGGUAGAAAGGUGAAUCAUACUCUCUGUAUCCUGUUCUACCACUUGCCACAUUUCUAAAAUACCACGAUUCCCAGGCACAAGAGGAUGUGUGAAUAUUUUGUUCUGUUUUUUGUUUUUUUUUUUUUUGUUUUUUUUUUACUUAGUACUAAUAAUACACAAGAGCUGAAUAGUUACUGAAACUAUUUCCAGUUUCUUGCAUUUGAUAAUAGAUGGAGACCCGAUUCGAACUGACCUAGACCCUUAGAUAACUAUCCCAAACAGAGCCAUCCCUGAGUAGGUCACAGAGCUUCUCUGUGUCUGUUUCUUUAUUUGCAAAAUCACAUUGUAUCACCUGUCAAAUUCACAGAUUGUUAAGAAUUAAGUAAGUUCAUGACUAUGGAACACCUUUAAAACUAUGAAGCACUAAAACGAAUUCAGUGGACAGUGGCAAUUAUGAAGAGGAUGAUGAUGGAAAUGAGAGAUACUACAAAUGAAAAUUCUGUAUAUUUAUGAAAUUAUGGCUUAGUAUUUGUCAUUUGAGAAUUUCAAUGGUUUUGAACAUGUAGGACUGGGAUCAUAAAAAUUCAUGAGCAUAUUGGUGAGCCUCAAGUAAAAUCUGUUUUAAAUACACAAUGUACACUUUCCAAAAGAAAAUUUGUGAUAUGCAUAUUUAUAUAUUUACUAGCACUAUCAAAAGGUACCAAAGACAUUAACACUAAGUUCUAAGCAUUUUGCAGACUUCUGGAAGCUAUUCUUCCCUGCUUUGCCUACGUAAGUCACCUCCCUUGAAUGAUACUUGGGAAGGCCUGGUCACGAUUAUCUUUAGAUAUUUGAUCUGGCUGAGAUAAUGUCCUGCCCUAUGAAGGUGCUGUGAUUUCCGCCAAAGGGUAAAAUAAACAUUUUUCUCAGUAUUAUUGUCCAAGAGCUUUUACUUUUGACACUCUGGGUCUGCCUCAAGUGGCGGCUAGGUGAUGGAGGACGAAAAAGAGGAGUGCGUAAAACCUGAAGCGAGAACCAGAAGUUUUCCCUAAAAGAAGCUAAGUUUUUUUAAGAUGAAGAUAAAGAUUUAAUUUCGCAAUAUUAAUUUCUACUGCCAGUAUAAAACUUUAUCUUUCUAAGUAUCUGUACAUGUCUCUGUCCAAAGUACCCUCCUGCUACUAAGGCAAAGGAAAAGCAUAUUGAUUUUUCUGCAAACUCCCAUACCUUUCUUUCAAGUUGACUGCUUGGAAAUCUAUUCAAAUUGGAGACUACAUCCUGUUUAGGCAGUUGAAGUUGACAGCAGAGCUUUAAUUAAUAAGGCAUGCAAGGACAAAGACACCAGGCCCAAAUCAGAUGCAGGCGACAUCUUCUUGUGGCUGCUCUAAGAAGCACGGCAAUCAUUUAUACUCUACCUUGGUGCUCAGAUGGAAGAAAUAAGGCUAGAGCAUGAAGAGCAAGGCUAUCUACUAAGAUAUGAGAAUUACAGCAUUCUGGAUGAACAGAGUUAUAUUAUCCCUGCUUUCAGAUAAG
rnacentral:lncRNA from 1 species